ACUGUGGAGUGUACAAGAAGUUGCGAGUAGCGUGUUGCUUGCAGCCGCCAAAGCAUACACAAGGAAGCAGUAA
rnacentral:sRNA from 1 species